rnacentral:rRNA from 1 species
UACGUAGGUGGCGAGCGUUGUCCGGAUUUACUGGGCGUAAAGAGCGCGCAGGCGGUCGUUCAAGUCGCGUGUGAAAGCCCCCGGCUCAACUGGGGAGGGUCACGCGAUACUGAUCGACUCGAAGGCAGGAGAGGGAAGUGGAAUUCCCGGUGUAGUGGUGAAAUGCGUAGAUAUCGGGAGGAACACCAGUGGCGAAGGCGGCUCACUGGCCCGUUACCGACGCUCAGGCGCGACAGCGUGGGGAGCAAACAGG